GUGGUACGAAAAUUCUGCACGCCAUUUCUUUUGGUCUAUGGAAAAGGUGACAUGAGCCUUCCUGGAUUUCAGAGCCCACCCUUUCAAGUUUCUUUGUGUUUGUUGUUUCCUCAGCAUUCAAACUCAAGUUGAAACAAGAACCAACACUCUGGGUUACAUUGAACCUUCAGUGCAUAUAUGUUUAUGUAUGUGUCACUGGUAGAUUUACAUUUUGAUUGGAAGUGACAGUUCCCAAUGACGAUGUGGUUGUUAAAAGAUGUAUGCUUUAGAAAGCUUCUGGUACAUCCAGAAAUUGUGCAAUAUAAAUUCCACAACUGUUUUCUGAAUUACUGAUGACAGCAAUGUCAUCUCCAGAAACAUCCAGUUCAAUGCAUUCCUGUUGAAAAUUUCUUGGAUGUUUUAUCGGUUGUAAUUUCAUAUCACUGAAUGCUAUAUUCUCUGAUCUU
rnacentral:lncRNA from 1 species